GAGAAAGUAGUGAGAGAAGAUGAAGAUGCUGGGUAGCAAAGUGCCACACAGUGCCACUACUCCUGGGGGCCCUGCUUUUCGUGGAAAAGUUUAGGGCUGAGAGUUUUACAGGCUCUGGCCUCACUGGUAUCUUGUUACUUAGAGACCGGACAGUUGCUUAGAAGAGGUAACACAAAGAAACAGAAAGAAACGUUCUGCUGGACUUUGUUUUAACGUUGUUUCAGGACCAGCUCGUUGAGGAGCUUACUCUAUUGCUGUGUCCUGCCAGCAGUCUAAGUCCCUGAAAGGAACCUGAGGCUUAAGGCAAACACCUGGCAUACCUCCGAUGCCGCCUCCCUUUUAAGGUGGCUUUUAAGAUGGCUUGGCUGCAGAGGCUGAAAAAGACCUGAGCACAGGAAUGUUACCGUCAUAGCUCUAGUGAAACAGGCAUCUUUAAAAAGUCAAAAAGGAAAUUCUAAAUUUUAAGUUGUAGACCCAAAGGUUAAAGAAUCUUUCAAUUUGUUAGGUCGUCGUUGCUCUUCUUUCAGGAACACUAAAAAAAUGCUGAAAGCAGACAGAAACCACACAAGCCUGCAAACAGAAGGACUGGCUAUUUCUCAGGCAUCACCCACCACCUAGAUGCUGCCCUUGCACCUGGAGUCAUGCAAGUUGCCUCUUCGGAGUUUUUCAAGCGAGAGGUGAAGCUACAAGUGUCUUUUCAGCAGCCCACUGCACGUGCCCCCUGCGCCUCGCUCUAUGGCGCCUCUCACAGAGCGUGUUAUGGUUACCUGUGGCCAGCAACGCUGGAAUCAGCUGUUACAAAGACUGAGUUCAGUGCCUGACCACAGAGGAGAGAAGCAACUGAAUUUCUCAUUUCUUCAUGACUUCGCCAUGUCACUAGCACCUGCCUAGAAAUGAAGUUUCAUCAGAUGCAGCCAUGCCUCACAAGGAAGGUUUUGUUUGCCAAGAGUGUCCUGGAAGGCCUACCAGUGUCGAUGACAUACACUCCAGCCAGCUCAUCAGCCCACCAUGCUACUUAACUUCAACAGUCUGAGAGUAAGUUCACAGUUUAAACAAUGAAGCCUGUCAGAAAAAUGAGAAGAAUGAUGAAAUUCAAGAUAGUACUACCAAUUGUUUUCAUAGGAGAAACACUGACCCCGGCCUUUAACCUUACAGACUCUUGUCAUAGAUUGUUGUUGCUGUGAUAAACCACAAGUGAAACCAACUGGAGAAAAACUUUAACUCAUUUCAUACUUACAGGUAUUUUAUCUGUCCAUCACUGAGACAGAUAAGGGCAGGAAUUCAGUUAUGAACCUAAAAACAGAAACAGAAGUAGAGGCCAUGGUUACUGGCUUCCUCAGCUUGUUCUGCUCUUCCCCCUCCCCCCGCAUGCAGGACCAUCUGCCCUAGGGUGCCACCAUCUUCAGUGGACUGGUAUCUACCACAUCCAACGUUAAUCAAGAAAAUGCCCUACAGACGUGCCUACGAGCCCAUUUGAAGCUCCUUCUUCCCUGAUGACCCAUGGUAGUGGCAAGUGGCAAAUCUAACCAGUGUAUCAACAUUCACCAGUGAUCAGAUGACAGCUCUCUUUUUCAGAUGGUCAACUCUCUUUGCUAUUAUUAUUAUUAAUAUUGCAACUUGUUCACCUUUCUUCUCGCCUUCCCAGCAGGAGCCAGAGUGUCAGCCAAACACUGGUGGUCCAUUAAAGGCUAAUUUUCUACGGUUGUGUGGAUUCAGAUCUCCACCUCACACUCACUCAAUCUUGGCAAGAAUAGAAUGGGAAAACAUUGGGAGAAAAUUCAUUUUUUGAGAAAGGCCAACUUGUUGCUGUAAGAUUUAUCACUGACUUGUAAAGUUGGGAAAGGCCUCUACUCAAACCAAAGCCGGUCAUGCAGAGUUCAUUCUGUAAACUGAUCAUUUAUUUGUAUUGUGUUCACCUUCUAUCAAGGUUAUGGGGUUACCAUGGUUCCAUUACCUCAUUGCAAGUAGUGUGGUCAAGAGACUGACUCUCUAAGACAGUGCUUUAUGCAUGUAGCUCAUCUGGUUGUUGAUUUAACUCUUUGGGCUUGAAAGCACUUGCAUUCUGCUUGAAUCUUUACUAUUUAUAUUCAUUUCAAAUGAGGUUACAACACAGAAGACAUACUCCUUCUUUUCUCUUCCCAACCACUUGUGAAAUAAAACAUGGUUAGUGAAAGGCACAAAAGGCUUGGUAAAUCAAUAGAUGGGUUUAUAGAAAAUAAAGUCAUUUCUACAACAACAGCCUAUACUGGUCUGAUUAA